rnacentral:misc_RNA from 1 species
GAUGAAGAACGUAGCGAAAUGCGAUAAGUAGUGUGAAUUGCAGAAUUCAGUGAAUCAUCGAAUCUUUGAACGCACAUUGCGCCCCUUGGUAUCCCGAGGGGCAUGUCUGUUCGAGCGUCAUUUCACCACUCAAGCCUGGCUUGGUGUUGGGCGACGUCCCCUUUGGGGACGCGCCUCGAAACGCUCGGCGGCGUGGCACCGGCUUUAAGCGUAGCAGAAUCUUUCGCUUUGGAAGUCGGGGCCCCGUCUGCCGGAAGACCUACUCGCAAGGUUGACCUCGGAUCAGGCAGGGAUACCCGCUGAACUUAAGCAUAUCAAUAAGCGGAGGA